GAGAGCCCGUUGCGCGGAGACGCGCACGGCGGGUUCGGCGAGCGGCCUGGAGAAACGGACCAGCGGCAACGCGGCACCGCGCUCCAGGCCGACUCAACU
rnacentral:ncRNA from 1 species